rnacentral:lncRNA from 1 species
UCUAGAUAGAAUUAGUUGAAACAUCAAGUCCUGCGGGAGUUGAAUUUACAAAAUAUUUCAUUCACCUCAACAACUCUAUAUUAACUGUUUUCGUUCAUAUUUUUUUUCUCAUUUCUCUUCUUUCUUCUUCUUUGUUUAUCUUUUUCAUAAGGAGUAUGUAUUGACAUGUAUACAUCCUUCUAUUUUUUUUCAUUCAUUUUUUUUCUUUUCUAUUUUCUUUUUCUAUUUUUCUUUUCUUUUUCUACCAACUCCUGAAAUAUUGCAA